rnacentral:rRNA from 1 species
AGCGAACGCUGGCGGCAGGCCUAACACAUGCAAGUCGAACGGAUCCUUCGGGAUUAGUGGCGGACGGGUGAGUAACACGUGGGAACGUGCCCUUUGGUUCGGAACAACUCAGGGAAACUUGAGUUAAUACCGGAUGUGCCCUUCGGGGGAAAGAUUUAUCGCCAUUGGAGCGGCCCGCGUCUGAUUAGCUAGUUGGUGAGGUAAAGGCUCACCAAGGCGACGAUCAGUAGCUGGUCUGAGAGGAUGAUCAGCCACAUUGGACUGAGACACGGCCCAAACUCCUACGGGAGGCAGCAGUGGGGAAUUUUGCGCAAUGGGCGAAAGCCUGACGCAGCCAUGCCGCGUGAAUGAUGAAGGUCUUAGGAUUGUAAAAUUCUUUCACCGGGGACGAUAAUGACGGUACCCGGAGAAGAAGCCCCGGCUAACUUCGUGCCAGCCGCCGCAGUAAAAC